AGAGUUUGAUCAUGGCUCAGAGCGAACGCUGGCGGCAGGCUUAACACAUGCAAGUCGAACGGGCCCUUCGGGGUCAGUGGCAGACGGGUGAGUAACACGUGGGAACGUGCCCUUCGGUUCGGAACAACUCAGGGAAACUUGAGCUAAUACCGGAUACGCCCUUCGGGGGAAAGAUUUAUCGCUGAAGGAUCGGCCCGCGUCUGAUUAGCUAGUUGGUGAGGUAAUGGCUCACCAAGGCGACGAUCAGUAGCUGGUCUGAGAGGAUGAUCAGCCACACUGGGACUGAGACACGGCCCAGACUCCUACGGGAGGCAGCAGUGGGGAAUAUUGGACAAUGGGCGCAAGCCUGAUCCAGCCAUGCCGCGUGAGUGAUGAAGGCCUUAGGGUUGUAAAGCUCUUUCGUCCGGGACGAUAAUGACGGUACCGGAAGAAGAAGCCCCGGCUAACUUCGUGCCAGCAGCCGCGGUAAUACGAAGGGGGCUAGCGUUGCUCGGAAUCACUGGGCGUAAAGGGCGCGUAGGCGGCCAUUCAAGUCAGAGGUGAAAGCCCAAGGCUCAACCUUGGAAUUGCCUUUGAUACUGUUUGGCUUGAGACCGGAAGAGGUAAGUGGAACUGCGAGUGUAGAGGUGAAAUUCGUAGAUAUUCGCAAGAACACCAGUGGCGAAGGCGGCUUACUGGUCCGGUUCUGACGCUGAGGCGCGAAAGCGUGGGGAGCAAACAGGAUUAGAUACCCUAGUAGUCC
rnacentral:rRNA from 1 species